rnacentral:tRNA from 1 species
UGCGGGGUAGAGCAGUUUGGUAGCUCGCAAGGCUCAUAACCUUGAGGUCACGGGUUCAAAUCUUGUCUCCACAA